UACGUAGGUCCCGAGCGUUGUCCGGAUUUAUUGGGCGUAAAGCGAGCGCAGGUGGUUUAAUAAGUCUGAUGUAAAAGGCAGUGGCUCAACCAUUGUGUGCAUUGGAAACUGUUAGACUUGAGUGCAGUAGAGGAGAGUGGAAUUCCAUGUGUAGCGGUGAAAUGCGUAGAUAUAUGGAGGAACACCGGUGGCGAAAGCGGCUCUCUGGACUGUAACUGACACUGAGGCUCGAAAGCGUGGGUAGCAAACAGG
rnacentral:rRNA from 3 species